GGGUUGUGAGGUUAAGCGACUAAGCGUACACGGUGGAUGCCCUGGCAGUCAGAGGCGAUGAAGGGCGUGCUAAUCUGCGAUAAGCGCCGGUAAGGUGAUAUGAACCGUUAUAACCGGCGAUACCCGAAUGGGGAAACCCAGUGUGAUUCGUCACACUAUCAUUAACUGAAUCCAUAGGUUAAUGAGGCGAACCGGGGGAACUGAAACAUCUAAGUACCCCGAGGAAAAGAAAUCAACCGAGAUUCCCCCAGUAGCGGCGAGCGAACGGGGAGGAGCCCAGAGCCUGAAUCAGCAUGUGUGUUAGUGGAAGCGUCUGGAAAGGCGCGCGAUACAGGGUGACAGCCCCGUACACAAAAGCGCAUGUGCUGUGAGCUCGAUGAGUAGGGCGGGACACGUGGUAUCCUGUCUGAAUAUGGGGGGACCAUCCUCCAAGGCUAAAUACUCCUGACUGACCGAUAGUGAACCAGUACCGUGAGGGAAAGGCGAAAAGAACCCCGGCGAGGGGAGUGAAAAAGAACCUGAAACCGUGUACGUACAAGCAGUGGGAGCACCCUUUUGGGUGUGACUGCGUACCUUUUGUAUAAUGGGUCAGCGACUUAUAUUCUGUAGCAAGGUUAACCGCAUAGGGGAGCCGGAGGGAAACCGAGUCUUAACCGGGCGUUAAGUUGCAGGGUAUAGACCCGAAACCCGGUGAUCUAGCCAUGGGCAGGUUGAAGGUUGGGUAACACUAACUGGAGGACCGAACCGACUAAUGUUGAAAAAUUAGCGGAUGACCUGUGGCUGGGGGUGAAAGGCCAAUCAAACCGGGAGAUAGCUGGUUCUCCCCGAAAGCUAUUUAGGUAGCGCCUCGUGAAUUCAUCUCCGGGGGUAGAGCACUGUUUCGGCUAGGGGGCCAUCCCGGCUUACCAACCCGAUGCAAACUGCGAAUACCGGAGAAUGUUAUCACGGGAGACACACGGCGGGUGCUAACGUCCGUCGUGAAGAGGGAAACAACCCAGACCGCCAGCUAAGGUCCCAAAGUCAUGGUUAAGUGGGAAACGAUGUGGGAAGGCCCAGACAGCCAGGAUGUUGGCUUAGAAGCAGCCAUCAUUUAAAGAAAGCGUAAUAGCUCACUGGUCGAGUCGGCCUGCGCGGAAGAUGUAACGGGGCUAAACCAUGCACCGAAGCUGCGGCAGCGACGCUUAUGCGUUGUUGGGUAGGGGAGCGUUCUGUAAGCCUGCGAAGGUGGCCUGUGAGGGUUGCUGGAGGUAUCAGAAGUGCGAAUGCUGACAUAAGUAACGAUAAAGCGGGUGAAAAGCCCGCUCGCCGGAAGACCAAGGGUUCCUGUCCAACGUUAAUCGGGGCAGG
rnacentral:rRNA from 1 species